UGAAUUUUGGGUUUCAAAAACGGAAUUCCCUUAUGUUAAGAAGAAGAGGAUUUUACGUGAAUUUGACGUUGAAGGUUUUAAUUAAAUUAUGACAGAUUUGCAUAGAUUGCAUAAUGACGCUUGGGUGGGGAGCCAGCAGGCAAGUCAAACUCGAUCGAUUACGCGGAUAUGUUUUCCCAGAAAAUUUUGACAGCUAGAAUGUUCCUGUGUUCUGGGGAAGAUUUGACUUGCAAAAUUCUCAUCAGUUAAAAAAUAACCACCACAAAAAAUCUGUUUCAAACCAAUUAGUAACGGG